UGGAUUGAGAGCUUGCUCUCAAGAAGUUAGCGGCGGACGGGUGAGUAACACGUGGGUAACCUGCCCAUAAGACUGGGAUAACUCCGGGAAACCGGGGCUAAUACCGGAUAAUAUUUUGAACUGCAUGGUUCGAAAUUGAAAGGCGGCUUCGGCUGUCACUUAUGGAUGGACCCGCGUCGCAUUAGCUAGUUGGUGAGGUAACGGCUCACCAAGGCAACGAUGCGUAGCCGACCUGAGAGGGUGAUCGGCCACACUGGGACUGAGACACGGCCCAGACUCCUACGGGAGGCAGCAGUAGGGAAUCUUCCGCAAUGGACGAAAGUCUGACGGAGCAACGCCGCGUGAGUGAUGAAGGCUUUCGGGUCGUAAAACUCUGUUGUUAGGGAAGAACAAGUGCUAGUUGAAUAAGCUGGCACCUUGACGGUACCUAACCAGAAAGCCACGGCUAACUACGUGCCA
rnacentral:rRNA from 2 species